rnacentral:misc_RNA from 1 species
GACCAAGCCUGAUGGACUCAAAACAAACCUUGAAAUGAUGUUAUCUCUGAUGAUGAAGGAAUAGUACACUUCAUCAUCAUUGGAGACAAAUCUGGGUUGGAAAACUGGGUUUGCCAUUAGAGCUGGUAGAGCACUAAACUGAGUCCCAUACCAUGGCCCCGUGCGAAACUGCUUAGUAGAUCCUUUACGAAGAACAAGCUGAGGAAGUCCUAGAGGAUCCAAA